GAGGGUAAAGCUCUGUAGUAGAGCGCAAGUUUAGUGUCCAUGAGGUCCUGGGUUCAAUCCCCAGUCCCUCCA
rnacentral:tRNA from 1 species